rnacentral:lncRNA from 1 species
AUGCCUGUGCUUCAGUUCGCUCGUCCUAUCAAGCCCAUGCCUCAACAUCAAAACGAUGCUAGAAACAAAAUAAUGCAAACAUUGAUAGAUGCAGAUGUGAAUAAAGAUGGGUGUUAUACAAAGGGUAAGAUCGAGAAAGCUCUAAAAGAUUUAGGUUCCUACAUCCCUGGAUGGAGAGCAAGUGUUUGUCUCAAGAAACUUGAUGCUGACAAUGAUGGCCAAAUUAGUGGUGAGGAAUUUGACAAUCUAGUUGAUUAUCUUCUUGAACAAGGUUUUGGAAAGAAGUAA